CAGCCGCCGCGUGAAAACGGAGGGGGCUAGCGUUGUUCGGAAUUACUGGGCGUAAAGCGCACGUAGGCGGACCGGAAAGUCAGAGGUGAAAUCCCAGGGCUCAACCUUGGAACUGCCUUUGAAACUCCUGGUCUUGAGGUCGAGAGAGGUGAGUGGAAUUCCGAGUGUAGAGGUGAAAUUCGUAGAUAUUCGGAGGAACACCAGUGGCGAAGGCGGCUCACUGGCUCGAUACUGACGCUGAGGUGCGAAAGCGUGGGGAGCAAACAGGAUUAGAUACCCCGGUAGUCCCUGUCUCUUAUAC
rnacentral:rRNA from 1 species